rnacentral:rRNA from 1 species
GACGAACGCUGGCGGCGUGCUUAACACAUGCAAGUCGAACGGAAAGGCCCUGCUUUUGUGGGGUGCUCGAGUGGCGAACGGGUGAGUAACACGUGAGUAACCUGCCCUUGACUUUGGGAUAACUUCAGGAAACUGGGGCUAAUACCGGAUAGGAGCUCCUGCUGCAUGGUGGGGGUUGGAAAGUUUCGGCGGUUGGGGAUGGACUCGCGGCUUAUCAGCUUGUUGGUGGGGUAGUGGCUUACCAAGGCUUUGACGGGUAGCCGGCCUGAGAGGGUGACCGGCCACAUUGGGACUGGGAUACGGCCCAGACUCCUACGGGAGGCAGCAGUGGGGAAUAUUGCACAAUGGGCGGAAGCCUGAUGCAGCAACGCCGCGUGCGGGAUGACGGCCUUCGGGUUGUAAACCGCUUUCGCCUGUGACGAAGCGUGAGUGACGGUAAUGGGUAAAGAAGCACCGGCUAACUACGG